rnacentral:rRNA from 1 species
AUUGAACGCUGGCGGCAGGCCUAACACAUGCAAGUCGAGCGGAUGAAGGGAGCUUGCUCCUGGAUUCAGCGGCGGACGGGUGAGUAAUGCCUAGGAAUCUGCCUGGUAGUGGGGGAUAGCGUCCGGAAACGGGCGCUAAUACCGCAUACGUCCUGAGGGAGAAAGUGGGGGAUCUUCGGACCUCACGCUAUCAGAUGAGCCUAGGUCGGAUUAGCUAGUUGGUGGGGUAAAGGCCUACCAAGGCGACGAUCCGUAACUGGUCUGAGAGGAUGAUCAGUCACACUGGAACUGAGACACGGUCCAGACUCCUACGGGAGGCAGCAGUGGGGAAUAUUGGACAAUGGGCGAAAGCCUGAUCCAGCCAUGCCGCGUGUGUUAAGAAGGUCUUCGGAUUGUAAAGCACUUUAAGUUGGGAGGAAGGGCAGUAAGUUAAUACCUUGCUGUUUUGACGUUACCAACAGAAUAAGCACCGGCUAACUUCGUG